CGGAAAAACUCCAACCACCAAGUCCUACACACUGGCUUUAUCCAAAGAAAUUUUUUUGUGACAGGCAAAAUAUUCAAUCAAACAACAAAUUUACUUGUAAUAAUUAAAAAAAAUCUGAUUUUUUUAUUUUUUAAAAGUUCUCUAAUGAAUAUUUAGUCUUUUUGUAAUCCUCUAUUUUUUUUCCCAAUUUUUGUUCUAAUUUUUGCUUUAAUUUCCUCCAAAAAUCUUUUUUUUUUCCUGUUUGGUAAUGGCUUUUCUUCUUCAGGUUAUCUGCUAAUUCUUCCUAUAAAUUUCAGCUUUUAUGUAUGAAAGUUUUAAUGAUGGAUGACCGAGGCGGCGGUGGUAGCAAGGUGGCCGGGAUUCGGCAGAUUGUUCGACUAAAGGAAAUCCUUAAAAAAUGGCAAAAUGUCGCAUAAGGUUUGAGGUCGAGUGCUCCCCACUCCGGUGACGAUCCCAGGGGUGCAUCAAGACCAUUCAACAGAAGGGUAACGAAUAGCUAUGUAUUUUGAUUCCGAUUAGGAAAGUUGCACGAGUCCCAAACCGUCAACCGAUGUUCCAAAAGGAUAUUUGGCGGUUUCCGUCGGUUCGGAGCUUCGAAGGUUUAUCAUCCCUACGAGUUACCUUACCCAUCCCGUUUUCAAGAUUUUGUUGGAAAAAGCCGAGGAGGAAUUCAGAUACAAUCACAAUGGUGGACCCACGCACCCGUGUGAGAUCGAGACAUUCAAGUAUCUCCUCUAGUGCAUAGAGAAUCAUUAUAAGGGUUACCUUGUUGAGAACUCGGUUCCCAAACAGGUGAGCCAAGCGAAGUGGAGCCCGAGUCCAAAACAUGGAAUUUAUUAUAACUCGGUCAUGACUCAUGAACAUCUGGUGAUUGAAAUACGACGCCGUGUAGUGAAUAGACUCGGCUUUAAAAGCUCCCCAGAUCUGGCUGGAGAGCCGUUUCCAAAGGCCACAAUUUCGCUUCUGCUUGUGAGCAGAAUGCGCCAAUGAUGGAGCAGCAGCAUGCUCUUUCACGCGGUUGCGGAAUGGCCAUUUCCAGCUAAUGUGGUGAGGAAUUGUUUGCUUUUUGGUAGCUUUUUUUCCUCAAUAAUGAAAGUUUUAGUGAAAGAUGUCUGGAUUAAGCUGAUGUAAGCCAUCACUACGAACUGGAUCCUAUGCUUUCAUUUGUUACCAACGUCCAUAUUUUCUGUUUUUUUAUUAAUUUUUACACAGUAUAAUAGAA